rnacentral:snRNA from 1 species
GUAUAAUUUACAUAUACUAAAUUAUGAAUGAUACAGAAAAGAUUAGCAUAGCCCCUGCAUAAGGGUGACACACAAAUCUGAGAAACCUUCCAUAUUUUC